UACGUAGGGUGCGAGCGUUAAUCGGAAUUACUGGGCGUAAAGCGUGCGUAGGCGGUUCGUCAAGUCUGAUGUGAAAGCCCCGGGCUCAACCUGGGAACUGCAUUGGAAACUAGCGAGCUUGAGUGUGGCAGGAGGGGGGUGGAAUUCCACGUGUAGCAGUGAAAUGCGUAGAGAUGUGGAGGAACACCGAUGGCGAAGGCAGCCCCCUGGGCUAACACUGACGCUCAGGCACGAAAGCGUGGGGAGCAAACAGG
rnacentral:rRNA from 1 species